GACGAACGCUGGCGGCGUGCUUAACACAUGCAAGUCGAACGAAAAGAGGGAAAGAGCUUGCUCUUUCCGGAAUUGAGUGGCAAACGGGUGAGUAACACGUAAACAACCUGCCUUCAGGAUGGGGACAACAGACGGAAACGACUGCUAAUACCGAAUAAGUUCCAAGGGCCGCAUGGCCCAUGGAAGAAAAGGUGGCCUCUACCUGUAAGCUAUCGCCUGAAGAGGGGUUUGCGUCUGAUUAGCUGGUUGGAGGGGUAACGGCCCACCAAGGCGACGAUCAGUAGCCGGUCUGAGAGGAUGAACGGCCACACUGGAACUGAGACACGGUCCAGACUCCUACGGGAGGCGCAGUGGGGAAUCUUCCGCAAUGGGCGAAAGCCUGACGGAGCAACGCCGCGUGAGUGAUGACGGCCUUCGGGUUGUAAAACUCUGUGAUCCGGGACGAAAAGGCAGAGUGCGAAGAACAAACUGCAUUGACG
rnacentral:rRNA from 1 species